rnacentral:rRNA from 1 species
UGGGGAUAUUGCACAAUGGGGGAAACCCUGAUGCAGCAACGCCGCGUGAAGGAAGAAGGUCUUCGGAUUGUAAACUUUUGUCCUUGGUGAAGAUAAUGACGGUAGCCAAGGAGGAAGCUCCGGCUAACUACGUGCCAGCAGCCGCGGUAAUACGUAGGUUGCAAGCGUUGUCCGGAAUUACUGGGUGUAAAGGGCGUGUAGGCGGAGAUGCAAGUUGGGAGUGAAAUCCAUGGGCUUAACCCAUGAACUGCUCUCAAAACUGUAUCCCUUGAGUAUCGGAGAGGCAAGCGGAAUUCCUAGUGUAGCGGUGAAAUGCGUAGAUAUUAGGAGGAACACCAGUGGCGAAGGCGGCUUGCUGGACGACAACUGACGCUGAGGCGCGAAAGCGUGGGGAGCAAACAGGAUUAGAUACCCUGGUAGU